AUGGCGGCGACAGGGAGCGCUAAGGGCCUCCGGUUCGCUGCAGCGUGCGGCGUCCUCAGCCGCUGCAUCAAGGCGGCGGACGCGCGGCCGGCGCCCACGGUCGUCCUCCCCCUCAUGCCCGGAGCGGAAGUGCCCGCGCAAGACGAGCACGCGGGUCCUGCGCCGGAGCACGCGCAGAUGACUAUCUUCUACGGCGGGCAGGUGCAGGUGCUCGACGAGGUCCCGGCUGACAGGGCGGCCGAGCUGCUCCGUGUCGCAGCUGCCGCAACAGGUGGCGACCUGCCCAUGGCGAGGAAGGCGUCCCUGCAGCGGUUCAUGGAGAAGAGGAAGGGCAGGCUCGCCGCGCGCGCCGUCCCCUACAGCCGGCCCGACGGCGAUGCGUCCUGUUACCGUCUCACGCUUACGCUCUAG
rnacentral:rRNA from 1 species